rnacentral:rRNA from 1 species
UACGUAGGGUCCGAGCGUUGUCCGGAAUUAUUGGGCGUAAAGAGCUCGUAGGCGGUUUGUCGCGUCUGCUGUGAAAUCCCGAGGCUCAACCUCGGGCCUGCAGUGGGUACGGGCAGACUUGAGUGGCGUAGGGGAGACUGGAAUUCCUGGUGUAGCGGUGGAAUGCGCAGAUAUCAGGAGGAACACCGGUGGCGAAGGCGGCUCACUGGCUCGUAACUGACGCUCAUGCACGACAGCGUGGGGAUCAAACAGG